CCAUGGAGUAGUUCAGCAGGUAGAACACCGCCUCGACAAGACGGAGGUCGCGGGCUCGAAUCCCGCCUCCAUGGCCC
rnacentral:tRNA from 1 species